UAGGGUUAAAAUAAAAAUAAAAUAACUUCUGUAUUUUGUAGUUGUAAAAAAUUUUUUUUUAUUUAGGUAUUAGUAGUAUAGAUAAAUUUUUGUUUAGGUGUACUGUAAAGGAUUAGUUUAUUUGGUUGUUAGUAAAAAUAAAAAUUUGUACCUUUUGUAUAAUGGGUUAAUGAUAUUUAAAAUUUUUUAUAGAAUUAUCUCGAAUUAGGAGGAUUUAUUUGGUAAUAUAUGUUAACGUGGUAAAGUUAUAUGUUUAUUAUUGAAUGGUAAUGAAAUGUUUAUCGUUUCCUAGAAUAGCUAGUUUAUUAGGUGAAAGAUAUUUAAGUAUCAUAGUGUUUAUAUAAUAAAGUUAUAUUUGAAUACUAGUUUAUUAUAUGGGGGAUAAGCUUCAUAUAGGUUUAUAGAAUGUUAUGUAUAAGUAAAUAUAAUUUAAGUAGGGUUAAAAUUUAGUUUUUCUUAAUGAUUUAAUUUAUUAUCUGUUUAAAAUAUUUCAAGUGGUAUGUAAUUAAUAAAUGAUUGUUAAUAUUUUUAGUUAAAUAUAAUGUUAAUAUGAGUAUUGGUUUAUGGUUUAUCUAUUUAUUGUAAUUAUAAAUGUAAAUUGUUAUUUAGUUUUAUAAAAAAUUAAGUAAAGUGAAGGAAUUCGGCAAAUAUUAAUCUCGCCUGUUUAUCAAAAACAUCUCUCUUUGUUGAUUCAUAAAUAAAGAGUUGGGCCUGCUCGGUGAAAUGUUUAACAGCUGCGGUAUUUUAACUGUACUAAGGUAGCAUAAUAAUUUGCCUUAUAAUUUGAGGCUAGAAUGAAUGGUUUGACGAAGGUUAAUCUGUCUCCACUUUAUUUUUUAGAAAUUAAUUUUCAUAGUGAAAAAGCUUGAAUUUUUUAAGGGGACGAGAAGACCCUAUUGAGCUUAUAAUUUUAUUAAUAUUUUAUAAAUAUUUAUGUUGUGUUAUAUAAAUUUUAAUUGGGGUGAUUAAGGAAUAAUUUUAUUGAUUUUAUAGUGUAACUUCCUUAGAAAACAUAUUGUUAAAUUAAGUAACCGAUUUAUAUAUAGGUUUAUAUUGGGUAUUGCUUAUAAUAUAGUUACCAUAGGGAUAACAGCGUAAUUUACUUAGAGAGUUCUUAUUGAAAAGUAAGAUUGCGACCUCGAUGUUGGAUUAAAGUAACCUUAAGGUGCAGAAGCUUUAUAAGGUAAAUCUGUUCGAUUUUUAAAACUUUACAUGAUCUGAGUUCAGACCGGCGUGAGCCAGGUUGGUUUCUAUCUUUUAAAAAUUGUUAUUGCUUCUUUUAGUACGAAAGGAUCGAAAAAAGAAAAAAGUAACUACUGCGUUUGGCCGCUCGU
rnacentral:rRNA from 1 species